rnacentral:rRNA from 1 species
GGACCCGCACAAGCGGUGGAGUAUGUGGUUUAAUUCGAUGCAACACGAAGAACCUUACCAGGGUUUGAAAUCAUUUCAAAACUCCUUGAAAGAGGAGCCUCCUUCGGGAUGAAAUGACAGGUGGUGCAUGGCUGUCGUCAGCUCGUGUUGUGAAAUGUCGAGUUAAGUCUCGUAACGAGCGCAACCCAUGUCUCUUGUUGCUCACUGAGUGCUUAAGAGAGACUGCCGACCAACAUCGGAGGAAGGUGUGGAUGAUGUCAAGUCAGCAUGCCCCUUACAUCCUGGGGCUACACACGUACUACAAUGGCCGGUACAGAGGGCAGCCACACCGCAAGGUGGAGCG